CGGGGACUUCGGUCCUAGUGGCGAACGGUCGCGUAACACGUAAGCAACCUGCCCUGAAGUGGGGGACAACAUCCCGAAAGGGGUGCUAAUACCGCAUGUGGUCACGAGUCGGCAUCGGCUUGUGUCUAAAGAUUUAUCGCUUCAGGAUGGGCUUGCGGCCUAUCAGGUAGUUGGUGGGGUAAUGGCCUACCAAGCCGACGACGGGUAGCUGGUCUGAGAGGACGAUCAGCCGGAUUGGGACUGAGAUACGGCCCAGACUCCUACGGGGGGCAGCAAUUAGGAAUCUUGCGCAAUGGGGGGAACCCUGACGCAGCGACGUCGCGUGAAGGAUGAAGGCCCUCGGGUCGUAAACUUCUUUUGAGUGGGAAGAAAUUUGACGGUACCACUCGAAUAAGCCCCGGCUAACUACGUGCCAGCAGCCGCGGUAAUACGUAGGGGGCGAGCGUUGUCCGAAGUUACUGGGCGUAAAGCGCGCGUAGGCGGUUAUU
rnacentral:rRNA from 1 species